UUAACUCAUAUUUGUAUGGAAUGGGAUCGUUUGCGUACGUUUGCCGCUAGGGGCGCUGGUCCAACUGCAUACAAAAUUGGGUUA
rnacentral:pre_miRNA from 1 species